CCUACGGGUGGCAGCAGUGAGGAAUCUUGGUCAAUGGACGCAAGUCUGAACCAGCCAUGCCGCGUGCAGGAUGACGGCCCUAUGAGUUGUAAACUUCUUUUGUAUGGGAGUAAACCCGUCAACGUGUAUGGUGUUGUAUGUACCGUAUGAAUCAGGAUCGGCUAACUCCGUGCCAGCAGCCGCGGUAAUACGGAGGAUCCGAGCGUUAUCCGGAUUUAUUGGGUUGAAAGGGUGCGUAGGCGGGUUGUUAAGUCAGAUGUGAAAGGUUGCGGUUCAACCGAAAAAUUGCAUUUGAUACUGGUAGACUUGAGAACAGUAGAGGUAGGCGGAAUGCAUGGUGUAGCGGUGAAAUGCUUAGAGAUCAUGAAGAACACCGAUUGCGAAGGCAGCUCACUGGACUGUAACUGACGUUGAGGUUCGAAAGCGUGGGUAGCAAACAGGAUUAGAUACCCGUGUAGUC
rnacentral:rRNA from 1 species